rnacentral:rRNA from 1 species
GAUGAACGCUGGCGGCGUGCCUAAUACAUGCAAGUCGAGCGAACGGACGAGAAGCUUGCUUCUCUGAUGUUAGCGGCGGACGGGUGAGUAACACGUGGAUAACCUACCUAUAAUACUGGGAUAACUUCGGGAAACCGGAGCUAAUACCGGAUAAUAUUUUGAACCGCAUGGUUCAAAAGUGAAAGAUGGUCUUGCUGUCACUUAUAGAUGGAUCCGCGCUGCAUUAGCUAGUUGGUAAGGUAACGGCUUACCAAGGCAACGAUGCAUAGCCGACCUGAGAGGGUGAUCGGCCACACUGGAACUGAGACACGGUCCAGACUCCUACGGGAGGCAGCAGUAGGGAAUCUUCCGCAAUGGGCGAAAGCCUGACGGAGCAACGCCGCGUGAGUGAUGAAGGUCUUCGGAUCGUAAAACUCUGUUAUUAGGGAAGAACAUAUGUGUAAGUAACUGUGCACAUCUUGACGGUACCUAAUCAGAAAGCCACGGCUAACUACGUG